GCCAGGUGCGUUGGCACACGCCUGUAAUCCCAGCAGCACAGGAGGCUGCGGCAGGAGGAUCACAAAUUCAAAGGAAGCCUCAGCAACUUAGCAAGGCCCUAUGCAACACAGUGAGACCAUGUUUCUA
rnacentral:sRNA from 1 species